rnacentral:ncRNA from 1 species
AGCCGCCGAAGGUGGGGCAGAUGAUUGGGGUGAAGUCGUAACAAGGUAUCCCUACCGGAAGGUGGGGAUGGAUCACCUCCUUU